AAAAUUUUGAUCCUAUAAAUUAAGAAUACAUUAUAAUUCAUAAACUGAACCAAAAACUACUUUUGGUAUAAGUACAGAGAGAGUGGAAACCUUAGCUAAGAAGUUUGACCCAUACCCAACCGGCAUCUGCAGUUUUGUUACCUAAUUUGCAGAAUUCAUGUAGCUUAUUCCAUUCACAAAGCCGUAGAGUGACAGAAAGCUUUUUCCAUUUUCCAGCAAAAUAGUGUACAGGCAGCAGCAUGUUAUAAAACAAAGCAGCUCUUGCCAGUUAAUCAAGAUUCUCCAGCUUCUCCUUGUGCCUGGACCUCUGCAGCCUUGCCCAGACAUCCUUGCCUAGGUCCAUCUGGAACUAAGGAACUUUAUGUUCUACUUUUCCUCUGGAGAGAUGGAAAGACUACUAAGGAUGGUGGCGAGGGGCAGAUGGAAGACAUCUGAAGAUGAGAAUAUCUCAGACUGAA
rnacentral:lncRNA from 1 species